UUGGAGGGCAAGUCUGGUGCCAGCAGCCGCGGUAAUUCCAGCUCCAAUAGCGUAUAUUAAAGUUGUUGCAGUUAAAAAGCUCGUAGUUGAAUUUCGGGAUUAGUACGUCGGUCGUGCCUUAGGUACGUACUGGUGUUACUGGUUCCUACCUUCUGACGAACCAUCAUGUCAUUAAUUUGGUGUGGUGGGGAAUCAGGACUGUUACUUUGAAAAAAUUAGAGUGUUUAAAGCAGGCUCGCGCUUGAAUACAUUAGCAUGGAAUAAUGAAAUAGGACGUUGAUCCUAUUUUGUUGGUUCCUAGGAUUGACGUAAUGAUUAAUAGGGAUAGUUGGGGGCAUUAGUAUUCAAUUGUCAGAGGUGAAAUUCUUGGAUUUAUUGAAGACUAACUACUGCGAAAGCAUUUGCCAAGGAUGUUUUCAUUAAUCAAGAACGAAAGUUAGGGGAUCGAAGACGAUCAGAUACCGUCGUAGUCUUAACCAUAAACUAUGCCGACUAGGGAUCGGAUGAUGUUAUUUUUAAUGACUCAUUCGGCGCCUUACGGGAAAC
rnacentral:rRNA from 1 species